rnacentral:tRNA from 1 species
GCGGGCGUGGCGGAACUGGCAGACGCGCGGGAUUUAGGUUCCCGUGGGGCAACCCGUGCAGGUUCGAAUCCUGUCGCCCGCA